rnacentral:rRNA from 1 species
ACGGAGGGGGCAAGCGUUGUUCGGAAUUACUGGGCGUAAAGGGCACGUAGGCGGCCCGUUUAGUCAGAGGUGAAAUCCCCGAGCUCAACUUGGGAACUGCCUUUGAUACUAGCGGGCUUGAGUCCGGGAGAGGAUAGUGGAAUUCCCAGUGUAGAGGUGAAAUUCGUAGAUAUUGGGAAGAACACCAGUGGCGAAGGCGGCUAUCUGGACCGGUACUGACGCUGAGGUGCGAAAGCGUGGGGAGCAAACAGG